GACAGAGGGUGCUAGCGUUGUUCGGAUUUACUGGGCGUAAAGGGCGCGUAGGCGGCGCAACAAGUCACUUGUGAAAUCUCCGGGCUUAACCCGGAGCGGCCAAGUGAUACUGUCGUGCUAGAGUGCGGAAGGGGCUACUGGAAUUCUCGGUGUAGCGGUGAAAUGCGUAGAUAUCGAGAGGAACACCUGCGGCGAAGGCGGGUAGCUGGGCCGACACUGACGCUGAGGCGCGAAAGCCAGGGGAGCGAACGGG
rnacentral:rRNA from 1 species